rnacentral:rRNA from 1 species
AGAGUUUGAUCAUGGCUCAGGACGAACGCUGGCGGCGUGCCUAACACAUGCAAGUCGAGCGGAGGUAGCUUGAUGGUAACUGAUAGCUACUUUAGCGGCGGACGGGUGAGUAACACGUGGGCAACCUGCCUUGAAGAGGGGGAUAACACCGGGAAAUCGGUGCUAAUACCGCAUAACAUACAUUGACUGCAUGGUCGAUGUAUCAAAGGAGUAAUCCGCUUUAAGAUGGGCCCGCGGCUGAUUAGCUAGUUGGUAAGGUAAUGGCUUACCAAGGCGACGAUCAGUAGCCGACCUGAGAGGGUGACCGGCCACACUGGAACUGAGACACGGUCCAGACUCCUACGGGAGGCAGCAGUGGGGAAUAUUGCGCAAUGGGGGGAACCCUGACGCAGCAACGCCGCGUGGAGGAAGAAGGUCUUCGGAUUGUAAACUCCUGUCUUCCGGGACGAUAAUGACGGUACCGGAGGAGGAAGCCACGGCUAACUACGUGCCAGCAGCCGCGGUAAUACGUAGGUGGCGAGCGUUGUCCGGAAUUACUGGGCGUAAAGGGCGCGUAGGCGGUUUUUUAAGUUAGAUGUGAAAACCCAGGGCUUAACUUUGGGCGUGCAUUUAAAACUGGAGAACUUGAGUGCAGGAGAGGUAAGUGGAAUUCCUAGUGUAGCGGUGAAAUGCGUAGAUAUUAGGAGGAACACCAGUGGCGAAGGCGACUUACUGGACUGUAACUGACGCUGAGGCGCGAAAGCGUGGGGAGCAAACAGGAUUAGAUACCCUGGUAGUCCACGCUGUAAACGAUGGAUACUAGGUGUGGGAGGUAUCGACCCCUUCCGUGCCGCAGUUAACGCAAUAAGUAUCCCGCCUGGGGAGUACGGCCGCA